GCCCGGAAGGUAGUUCAAUUCCUUUAUGUAGGUCCUCUCCGUGUGUAGCCAAAAAUUUAUCUCUCUCUUCCAAUGUUCUGAUUUUAACCUUUCUCGCUCUAAAGGUAAAAGAUAAUCCUUGGGGAAAAUCCCACCUGAAUGGAAUUGCGUUGCUCCUUAAUAGUUUAGCAAGUUCGGAAUAGGCGGCUCUAAGGUCCAACAGUUGUCUUGGGAUAUCUUUAUAUAUCUCAAUUCUUCUAUCCAAAACUUCCAGUGACUUUUCGUAAUGUAGGCCCAAAAUCUUAUCCCUUUCCUCCUUCGAUCUCAAUGUAAUCAAACAAUCCCUGGGCCUCUCCUUCUUUGUAAAUCUUCCAAGUCUGAAAGCUGACACAAUUUUAAAGUCCUUUUCUUCCAAAUUCCAGAACUUGGAAAGUUCUUUGGUCAAAAACUCAGUUAGAUUUCCUUCUUCUGCCUCUUGUAAUGAUCUAAUCCUCAGAUUAUUCUCACGAUUUCGCAGUUCUAUCAUAGAAAGAUAAGUCUGAUGUUCCCCAACUUGUUUAGUGAGUGGUCUUACCUCUUGCUCUAAAUUUUCCAAUUUUUGUCUGGUAUCCUCAGCCAAUUUUCGGUUUUCUACUGAGGCCUCCGUCAACUGUCCAAUUGCUUGUGUAUUCUGUCCCACCUGUGUAGUUAAUUUGUUUAGACAAUCUGUAUUUUUAUCAAUCUUUGCUGAUUGCGCAUCUACUUUCUUGUCCAAAGCUUCCAAUUUUUCAAAGAUUUUUUCUAGCACAGAAACAGAUGCUCCUGAGGCCAUAUCUUCCAAUUGUAACUGCUCUACUUCACCCUCUCCCUCUUUUGCCUGUGACAAGGCAGCUUCUUCAAGUUGUACUUCUGAGGGCAAAGUAGGCACAGAUGAUCUACGUGUCUGCGAGGUUGAGGUUAGAUUUGUUAGAGUUGUUUGUCUAACUCUUCCUCUUCUUCUUGUACCACUCAUUCCAAUGUUAUCUAUCAGUCAAGGUCACACUGAGUUUUUCCCACAGGAAUAGAGAGGCCCAGAGCAAGCAGACAGCAAGAGAAUCGAAAGUAAAUGUUUUUAUAAAGUCACUGUUUUAAUCCAAUCCUCUAGGGGGAGCUUAAAGUGUCUUUUCAGAGUCUAAUUUAAUGUCCCAGAACCUUCCAAUAUAAGUAUUAAGCAGAGUUUAAAAGUAAUCACUUUGUUGCAGACAGUGCUUAUUUGUCUCCAAAAGAAUGUUUCAAAUUUAAAAGGUCUCAAUACCCUCAGAUUGUUGCAACUUCUAAUAUACAGUAUCCAAGUCAAACACUGACAGCCCACUGUUACAGUGCUCAAGCAAUCCUGACUCUGGGUUUCACCUUCCAAUUUGUAAUCCAAUAAAAGGGGGAAAGUCAAGUGCAAAUAAAAGGUCCAAAUCUUUAACUUGCUAAUUUUACUUUAAAUUGUAAGUUCCAUAGAUGCUUGGCUGUGUGGAGUUUAAAAUCUCUUUCUUUCAGCCUCCACUCCUCCACUUUAGUUGCUUUUUUUCCAAGUUCAAUGGCAGCGGAAGACGGACUUCCUGUUUCCACGUCUCUCCGCUUUCAGCCAAAUUCAAGUCAAUUUAAACCUUCUCAUUUAAAAUUUGUAAUUCCAAGUGAUUCAGUCUUUACUCACGAGUAAGUUGUUUUCUGCCAGAUCCGAAUUUUAGCAGGAAAAGGGUUCAGCGCUCACCGGCAGCAGCAGCGCGGCUUCACUCCGCUGACUGUGAAACGGCUCACAGCGCCGCAGCCCCCCUCCACGCUCCGGAGCCUCUUACGAGGCUCCUUCUGCAGCUGGAGGGCUGCUCUUGGCGCCCGCCGAGCCUCAGGACCCCAGGCUCUUGCUGCCUGGGGUUUUUCUCCUUGGGUCUCCGCUUCGCCGUAGCGGACGACCCGGUUUCAGCGGAGCUUCUUCUCCGAUCGGGAGAAGACCGCCAUUACCGUUCGCGCCGCCCCCCGGAAGUCC